GGACUCACAAGAAGUUCUGCAACAGAGUCUGCAUUAGUUGAGAUCCUUAUUGCUUGGACAUGUUAAAAACUCAACUCAAACUGGCUUAAGGAUGGGGGACUACAGUGACUAUGUAAUUGGGAAGUCUAGAGCUGAAUACAUCUUUAAACAUGGACGGACCCAGAGGUAAACAGUAUACACAGAGCUCUGCCUCUUUUCUUCUCCACCCUUCAGCUAUGCUUAUUUCUGCUUGCUAAACUAUAGGCAAGCUCUUUCUGUGUGUCUGUGUCAGAUAGAAUGACCUCAAUCAGCCCCAGGUGCACAUUUGCCCUGCCUAGCAACCACAGUGGAAUUAGACUUCCCCACCCAUUGGAAGCCCUAUGACAAUCUCUCAGGGAAGACGAUAAUUUAUCUUUCAGGGGUCAUAUGCAUAUUCCUGAAUCAAUAUUUGGCACUCCAGUAGCUAGGCUUGGCCACAUACUCACCGAUGAAGUGAGGACAGGUCAUUGUGAUUGACAUCACCAUCUGGACCACUAGGAAUGGGGCAGGAGUAGAAGGAAAAGGAUGGGAAAUGAUGCUGAACAGACAAAAAUUAUAGCUUCCCCCAAUCACUGCAGACUGCCUUCUAGACUCCUGAUGAAACUACAUGCCCUAAAGAAAAGAUUUCCACAAUGUGGGAAGGAUCAACCCAAUAAAAGGCCUCCACAGCUGGAUGUGUUCUGCCUGCAUGGAAUCACAACAUUAGUGCCUCCGUCAGCUGGUGCUAUCAUUCAACCCACAUAUUUUUCAUUCAAAAUUAACCCUGCACCAGAUUCCUCAUUAAUUAUAGCAGGACGUUUUGGAAAAGCUGAUGCUCUUCUGGUAUGAGAUUUGGACUCCAAGAAUAGAGUUAGAAAAAACAUACAUAAAGAUUAUUAUUCCCUACAACAUUAAGCCAUAAAUUAUGCCCCAAGAAAGUUAAAUAAUAUAAUUAAGUAAAGUAUAUAUCUAUUAUUUAUUUUAGUAAGUUUUCAUUUUGAUAUAAUUUCAAACUUACCAAAAGCUGCAAAAAUAUUAUGAAGUCUACUGUACACUUUACACAGGCUUACUAUUUGCCACUAUUUGCCCCAUCUUCAUGAAUCAAUAUCUCUCUCCCACUCCCCUCUCUCUCUCAUUUGAUAGACAGAUGAAGAUAGGUAGAUAGAUAGAUAGAUAGACAGAUAGAUGAUAUUCUGAAUCAUAUGAGAUGAAGUUACAAGCAUCAUGCCCCUUACCCUUAAAUUAAUUCAGGGAGUAUUUUCUAAGAACAAAGACAUUCUCUUAUGUAACCACAGUACAAUUAUUAAUAUUAGAAAAUUUAACAUUGACACUAUCUUAUUAACAUUGACAUUGAUCUUAUCUAUGAUCCAUAUUUGAAUUUUGCCAGUUGUCCCAAUAAUAUCCUUUAUAGCUUUUUUCUCUAAGUCCAGGAUCUGAGCCAGGAUUACACAUUGCACGUGAGCCAGAUCACGCCUCUUCAGUCUUCUUUCAUCUGGAAUGGUUACAUGGCCUUUCUUGGUGCUUCACCCUGUUAUUUUUUGAGAGUAAAGGCCAGUUAUUUUGUAGCAUGGCCCUCAGAUUGGGUCUGUCUGAAGUUCCUUCCUAAUUAGAUUCAGAAUAUGCACUCUUCUGGCAGAAAUGCCGCAGAAGGAUGGGCAUCUGACCGGGAAGCCCCUGAGGGCGGGCUGGCCCGUUAACAAUUGGUGAUGUUAACUUUGAAAUGUGUAUAUAACCAUAUCAGUACAUCUAGAGGUGAGGAAUACCAACAGGUAGAUUGUUAUGAAAGCACACAAAAUGUGAGCCAAGUAUGAGAAACCUGUGGCAUUCAGAGAGACAGCAUAUACUCACACCAGCCCCUCUCGGCAAAUAGGCAAGAAAAUAUGUGAAGUCUUAGAAUCAGCAUCAGGGAGAAAUUGUUAUGGAGAAAUCUGGGGCAUGGGGACAUUUGCACAUUAAGGAAAAACAAGUUGCUAAUAGUUUCCGGGAGUGGAUAAUAAAUUGGGGGCCAUUUAAAAAAAUAAGAUAAAUUUGAAUUCCCCUAGGUUCUCUUUCCAGGACAACGCUGGUAAUUAUGUUUAUAAAUCAUAACUGGUUCCUGACAAUGGAAAUUUUGAUCUGCUUCUGGCAAAAAAAAAAAAAAAAGUAAUUUCUUUUUAAGUUCCCUUUGGUUCAAUAGCUUUUAAUUUUAAAAGGGUUGUAGGAAUAUAUC
ensembl:lncRNA